GUUACCCAGACUCACCUCCUCAUGACCACAGGAAAAAUCCAGAUCCCAUGAGCUGUUGAGCUCCUGCUGCAAGGUUGCAAUGAUCCUGCCUGCAUCGUUUUCCUUCCAGCUCCCCUUCACGCUGCAGAGACUUAUGUGGUUCCUAUACUGCCAACAAAAUAGAGUAUAUCUGCUUCUUCUUUGAGUGCUCAAGGCCAUGCACACUGAAAACUGACUUCAUCUGCCAACUCCUGAAGAAGGGGCACAUGUCAAGUUACUUACAGCAGCUGGAGGAGGAGAGUUCCACAGAAUAAAUAAGGAAAGAAACCAAGGCUAUCCUUGAUGUGCAACAUAAAAGUAUUGGAAAUUGUGAUGAAGAUUUUGCCAAUACUGAUGAAAGGCAAUAAACCAUAGAUUCAUGAAGCUCAGAAAAUGCCACACUACUGGCAUAUCAGAUUCAAUAACUGAAAACAUAACAAAAAAGAAAAAUCUUGGAACAGAGAGAGAACAAAAAAAAAAA
rnacentral:lncRNA from 1 species